rnacentral:snRNA from 1 species
AUACUUACCUGGCAGGGGAGAUACCAUGAUCACAAAGGUGGUUUUCCCAGGGCGAGGCUUAUCCAUUGCCCUCUGGAUGUGCUGACCCCUGCGAUUUCCCCAAAUGUGGGAAACUCGACUGCACAAUUUGUGGUAGUGGGGGACUGUGUUCGCGCUUUCCCCUG